CCCGCAACGAGCGCAACCCCCGCCGUUAGUUGCCAGCGGUUCGGCCGGGCACGUCUAACGGGACUGCCCGCGAAAGCGGGAGGAAGAGGGGACGACGUCUGGUCAGCAUGGCCCUUACGGCCUGGGCGACACACGUGCUACAAUGCCCACUACAAAGCGAUGCCACCCGGCAACGGGGAGCUAAUCGCAAAAAGGUGGGCCCAGUUCGGAUUGGGGUCUGCAACCCGACCCCAUGAAGCCGGAAUCGCUAGUAAUCGCGGAUCAGCCAUGCCGCGGUGAAUACGUUCCCGGGCCUU
rnacentral:rRNA from 1 species